rnacentral:rRNA from 1 species
AGUCGAACGGUAACAGGAAACAGCUUGCUGUUUCGCUGACGAGUGGCGGACGGGUGAGUAAUGUCUGGGAAACUGCCUGAUGGAGGGGGAUAACUACUGGAAACGGUAGCUAAUACCGCAUAACGUCGCAAGACCAAAGAGGGGGACCUUCGGGCCUCUUGCCAUCGGAUGUGCCCAGAUGGGAUUAGCUAGUAGGUGGGGUAACGGCUCACCUAGGCGACGAUCCCUAGCUGGUCUGAGAGGAUGACCAGCCACACUGGAACUGAGACACGGUCCAGACUCCUACGGGAGGCAGCAGUGGGGAAUAUUGCACAAUGGGCGCAAGCCUGAUGCAGCCAUGCCGCGUGUAUGAAGAAGGCCUUCGGGUUGUAAAGUACUUUCAGCGGGGAGGAAGGGAGUAAAGUUAAUACCUUUGCUCAUUGACGUUACCCGCAGAAGAAGCACCGGCUAACUCCGUGCCAGCAGCCGCGGUAAUACGGAGGGUGCAAGCGUUAAUCGGAAUUACUGGGCGUAAAGCGCACGCAGGCGGUUUGUUAAGUCAGAUGUGAAAUCCCCGGGCUCAACCUGGGAACUGCAUCUGAUACUGGCAAGCUUGAGUC